UUAUUUAUUUUAUUAUAUUUAUUUUUUUGUUUAUUUAAUUAUUUAAUAGAAAUAAUUUUAUUGAAUUUUGUCUUARUAUAUUUUGUAGAAUUGAUUUUUUAAAUUAUAGUUUAUUGGUAAUGUAAUUGUUUUAUGAAAUAUUAUUUUAAAUUUUUAAAAGUAUAUUUUAUUUAUUGUACCUUUUGUAUCAGGGUUUAUCMAAAUUUUAGUAUUUAAUUUACUUGUCUCCAUUUGGGUUGAUUUAUAAAUAAUUUACAGUUAAUGKAUCAUAAUUAUUAUUAAAUUAUUUAUUGAAA
rnacentral:rRNA from 1 species